GACGAAGGGGGCUAGCGUUGUUCGGAAUUACUGGGCGUAAAGCGUGCGCAGGCGGUGAUGUAAGACAGAUGUGAAAUCCCCGGGCUCAACCUGGGAACUGCAUUUGUGACUGCAUCGCUGGAGUGCGGCAGAGGGGGAUGGAAUUCCGCGUGUAGCAGUGAAAUGCGUAGAUAUGCGGAGGAACACCGAUGGCGAAGGCAAUCCCCUGGGCCUGCACUGACGCUCAUGCACGAAAGCGUGGGGAGUAAACAGG
rnacentral:rRNA from 1 species